CCUACGUGUGGCAGCAGUGAGGAAUAUUGGUCAAUGGGCGGAAGCCUGAACCAGCCAAGUAGCGUGCAGGAUGACGGCCCUACGGGUUGUAAACUGCUUUUAUACGGGAAUAACGCGCCUUACGUGUAGGGCUUUGCAUGUACCGGAUGAAUAAGGACCGGCUAAUGCCGUGCAAGCAGCCGCGGUAAUACGGAAGGUCCGGGCGUUAUCCGGAUUGAUGGGGUUUAAAGGGAGCGUAGGCCGCAUGUCAAGCGUGCUGUGAAAUGUCCGGGCUCAACCCGGGCCUUGCAGCGCGAACUGGCGUGCUUGAGUGCGCGGAAAGCAGGCGGAAUUCGUCGUGUAGCGGUGAAAUGCUUAGAUAUGACGAAGAACCCCGAUUGCGAAGGCAGCUUGCUGCAGCGGAACUGACGCUGAUGCUCGAAAGCGCGGGUAUCGAACAGGAUUAGAUACCCCUGUAGUC
rnacentral:rRNA from 1 species